rnacentral:rRNA from 1 species
UCUACGGGAGGCAGCAGUAGGGAAUCUUCCGCAAUGGGCGAAAGCCUGACGGAGCACCGCCGCGUGAGUGAUGAAGGUUUUCGGAUCGUAAAGCUCUGUGCGCAGGGAAGAACGUUUUGCUUGACUAGUCUGCUAGAGACAGUGAGCGGAACCGUGUGAACGAACGACACCGCCUACCCC